rnacentral:rRNA from 1 species
CUCAGUACGGUCGGAAAUCGUACGUAGAGUGUAAAGGCAAAAGAGAGCUUGAUUGCAAGACAUACAGGUCGAGCAAGGAUGAAAAUCGGACUUAGUGAUCCGGUGGUUCUGCGUGGAAGGGCCAUCGCUCAACGGAUAAAAGCUACCCUGGGGAUAACAGGCUUAUCUCCCCCAAGAGUCAACAUCGACGGGGAGGUUUGGCACCUCGAUGUCGGCUCAUCACAUCCUGGGGCUGUAGUAGGUCCCAAGGGUUGGGCUGUUCGCCCAUUAAAGUGGUACGCGAGCUGGGUUCAGAACGUCGUGAGACAGUUCGGUCCCUAUCCGUCGCAGGCGUAGGAAAUUUGAGAAGACCUGUCCUUAGUACGAGAGGACCGGGAUGGACGUACCUCUGGUGUACCAGUUGU